rnacentral:tRNA from 1 species
GGUCUUCUUGGCCUGCGGCGUGUCGGGGUGCGGGGGAGGCGCCCCCGGCGGAGGGGCCCCGACGGACCCGCGCGGCGGCUCCGGACUGCCGGCGUCCUCC